rnacentral:rRNA from 1 species
UAAGGGCGCACGGUGGAUGCCUUGGCACUAGGAGCCGAUGAAGGACGGGACUAACACCGAUAUGCUUUGGGGAGCUGUACGUAAGCUAUGAUCCAGAGAUUUCCGAAUGGGGGAACCCAACAUCUUUAAUAGGAUGUUACGAUUGUGUGAAUACAUAGCACAUUCGAGGUAGACGCAGAGAACUGAAACAUCUAAGUACCUGCAGGAAGAGAAAGAAAAUUCGAUUCCCUGAGUAGCGGCGAGCGAAACGGGAAAAGCCCAAACCAGCAAGCUUGCUUGUUGGGGUUGUAGGACUCCAAUAUGGUAGUUCUUUCAGAUAGUCGAAUGACUUGGAAAAGUCAGUCAAAGAGGGUAAAAACCCCGUAGACGAAAUGUGGAAGACACCUAGGAGGAUCCUGAGUACGGCGGAACACGAGAAAUUCCGUCGGAAUCCGGGAGGACCAUCUCCCAAGGCUAAAUACUCCCUAGUGACCGAUAGUGAACCAGUACCGUGAGGGAAAGGUGAAAAGCACCCCGGAAGGGGAGUGAAAUAGAACCUGAAACCGUGUGCCUACAACAAGUCAAAGCCCGUUAAUGGGUGAUGGCGUGCCUUUUGUAGAAUGAACCGGCGAGUUACGAUUGCAUGCGAGGUUAAGUUGAAGAGACGGAGCCGCAGCGAAAGCGAGUCUGAAUAGGGCGUUUGAGUAUGUAGUCGUAGACCCGAAACCAUGUGAUCUACCCAUGUCCAGGUUGAAGGUGCGGUAAAACGCACUGGAGGACCGAACCCACGUACGUUGAAAAGUGCGGGGAUGAGGUGUGGGUAGCGGAGAAAUUCCAAACGAACUUGGAGAUAGCUGGUUCUCUCCGAAAUAGCUUUAGGGCUAGCCUCGGAAUU